AAUAAAUGUAGUUUAUUACUAUUCACGUUCAACGUUUGACCGUUCGUCUUGUUUGAAAUUUUUUAUGAUUAGUAUUUUUAUUACUAUUAGAUGAUAAAACAUGAAUAAUACUUUAUGUGUGACUAAAUAUUUUUAAAUUUUUUAUAAAAUUUUUAAAUAAGAUGGACGGUUAAAUGUUGGACACGGAUAUCCACGGCUACAUUUAUU
rfam:Oryza barthii chromosome 3, whole genome shotgun sequence.